GUGGUGCAACAUGAUAUUUUUCGAUAGUCAUCGGGGUUCACUGCACAAUACAUCAUGUUGAUUGCCUUUGCGUUGUUCUCUAUUUUUCUGAUAUCAUCGACGUCGUAUUCAUCUUCCGUUUUUGGAACGAGUUCUUCUCCAACGUUUUUGGUAGGUUGUAAUUCUCCAUUUUUGAUAAUUUUCCACAGUUGGAAGUUGUUU
rnacentral:lncRNA from 1 species